GCCAUUGUGGCUCAGUGGUGAGAGUGUUGGCCUGUGCACUGGAGAGUCGUAGGUUCAAUUUCUAGUCAAGGGCA
rnacentral:tRNA from 1 species